CGCCAGACUCCUACGGGAGGCAGCAGUGGGGAAUAUUGCACAGUGGGGGAAACCCUGAUGCAGCGACGCCGCGUGAGUGAAGAAGUAUUUCGGUAUGUAAAGCUCUAUCAGCAGGGAAGAAAAUGACGGUACCUGACUAAGAAGCCCCGGCUAACUACGUGCCAGCAGCCGCGGUAAUACGUAGGGGGCAAGCGUUAUCCGGAUUUACUGGGUGUAAAGGGAGCGUAGACGGCAGCGCAAGUCUGAAGUGAAAUCCCAUGGCUUAACCAUGGAACUGCUUUGGAAACUGUGCAGCUGGAGUGCAGGAGAGGUAAGCGGAAUUCCUAGUGUAGCGGUGAAAUGCGUAGAUAUUAGGAGGAACACCAGUGGCGAAGGCGGCUUACUGGACUGUAACUGACGUUGAGGCUCGAAAGCGUGGGGAGCAAACAGGAUUAGAUACCCUGGUAGAC
rnacentral:rRNA from 1 species